rnacentral:rRNA from 1 species
UCAUGCAAGUCGAGCGAACAGAUAAGGAGCUUGCUCCUUUGACGUUAGCGGCGGACGGGUGAGUAACACGUGGGUAACCUACCUAUAAGACUGGGAUAACUUCGGGAAACCGGAGCUAAUACCGGAUAACAUUUGGAACCGCAUGGUUCUAAAGUGAAAGAUGGUUUUGCUAUCACUUAUAGAUGGACCCGCGCCGUAUUAGCUAGUUGGUAAGGUAACGGCUUACCAAGGACGACGAUACGUAGCCGACCUGAGAGGGUGAUCGGCCACACUGGAACUGAGACACGGUCCAG